rnacentral:lncRNA from 1 species
GGAAAGGGUGUGCAGGAACUGUCUGUAAGUCUGAGUUAACAAGGCUUCCAUAAGUCUAAACUUAGGUUCAAAAUAAAAAGUUAAAAAAAUGGAGAACCAUAGAUCUCUGAAGACAUCAUCUUAACAUUUGGGUCCAGCACUGCCUGAAGUCUGAUAAUCUUCUAACAUUUCAGCCAGACAUCCAACAACUAUCUGUGCAAAAGGACGUACAGGAUAUCGUGCACUAUGUUCCUUCGUCUUCCAUUCAUUUAAAAAAUCCCUGAGUGACUACUACGUAUUGUAAACAAUUUUCUGCUGAGAAUAAUACAGCCUUUGGCAUCUCAACACUCUGCUAUCUACAAACGAGGCACUUUCCUCCCUCUCCCAGAGUAAUGGAGUGCUCUGCUCCAGAAACAAAAACCAAGUAAAUGCUUCCACAUGCUUCCAUCCUCUUUCUUGCACUUGUUAAAGCUCUCAUCUGGGAUGCCAGUCUGACUCUAGGCCACAGGAAUAGCUGGGCCAUGAACCACACCAGAAGUGCGUCAGCACUGACACGCAUUGUCAGGAACACCGGUGACCCGAGGCUGCCCACGCAGACACAGGACCAUUUUGACGACGACUGAUAGAAGAAGCAAAGGCAAGAUCAUUGAAGUGCCUGGACAGCACGCACCGUUAGUGGCUGGAUCCUCUCGCCUCCCAUCUUGUGAAACCACCGUUACAUAACUCGCUCAGAGUCAGCAUUCAUAACAGAACAGGAAGCUCACAGUGGUGACAUGAGGCUGUAAGAAGAGAGGUGUUGAUCUACCCGUGUGAUUGACAACAGAGGGAUAAGAACAGUACUCUGCAGGUGGCGCCCUCUCUUCCAGCUGAUUUCAGCAGGAGAAGCAGCAGUGACAGCAAGCUGGCCUGUCUGGCCUCUGUAAUCGUGCAUCACAGGAACUGAGAGAAAUUUGUGAGCAAGGGUGGCUUUCUGUUGUAUCAUGUUACUAUAAUUCUGAAAUCCGAGAAAGAUAUUUUGCAAGGAAAAACAUUCUUAUUUUCUGGGACCCUCUUCUCGGUUCACCAUCCAAAAAAUAGACUAAAUCUAGUAACAGAUUGAAGUUUUAUGAUGUCAUUCGUGAUUUACAGAAAUUUAUAAGAGAUUUAGUACAGAGUUCCCAUAUACCCCUUUACCCAGU